ACAUGUGUGGGAACAGGUGGACACAAUCAGGAAUCAGGGAAGACAAUCAGACUGGUGACACAUGAGGAAGGGCAAGCAACCUGAAACAAUAGGAGAGUUCAUUUCCAAAAUAAAACAGGAAGUCACAAAACAAACGUGGAGACAGGACAAAAACCCAACUUGACAUACAGGUGUGACAGUUUGUCAAACUUAACAGUACUUAAAAUAUUGCAUUUGAUAGUCUACUUAAGUUAAGAACACUUAUAUUAAAUUGGAGGAACUUGAAAUUGUGUCUGAAAAUAUCCAACAGCACCGAACAUUUUGUGUUGAGUAUACUCAAAAUAGCUUUGCAGCUGGUUGCUUAACUAUUAUGUUAAGUUUUCUCAACUUUUCAAAUUUCAUUGCCAAGUACACUCAAAAUCCGUUGCCAUGCUGCCUCUAUUUUUAAAUUUAAAAGUGUACACCGCUUUGGCAUAGAUGAGCCCAAUAAAUGGGAAACGCUAUUGAGAUGUCGCAUACAUCAUACGGGACAAUUCGUUGCUCAGUAACCAGGGCGAUGCUCGUUGUUGUUGGACUUGAGCGGACCGUUCCAACGUCACCUUCAACCACUGUGACGAGGUAGAACUCCCUGGACACAAGACUCCGGGUCUGUACUCUACAGAAAAACAAGCAUACAGAAAGUUUAAUAAAUAAUCCCCCCCUUUUUAAAUAUCCAAACCGACCCACGAUACUGCACAAUUAUUAGUGUCAGUGUAAAAGCACAAAAGGCAUCUUUUCAUUCAGUCCAUUUUAAAAUGUCUUGUUUCAGACUUAUGAUUUAGGUCCCAGCUCAAAUGUAAUUUAGAACCCCUGCUGUACCACAUUCCUAAACUACUGGUUGAUUACCUGUUGAUCCUCAUGUCCUUCCCAAGUGUUCCACUGUGUGAUCUGUACAGCUUAAUGAGCUGCAAUGAGCAUCAGAAGAUGACAGGAAGGUCUGCAUCAGGUCCACUCGUGUAACUUGAUUCUGAAAAACUCUGCACAGAUCUAAGAUGACAGGUUUCAUGUCAAAUGUAAUGUACAAUUGAUUAAAAUCUUAUUUUUGGAUCUUUCCAAAGAAGGGAGAACAUUUGGCAAAAUGUAUAUUUAACACAUAAAUGAAGGUCUCACUAGUAACAAAAAGAAAUGUCCUCCUGUCCUCCUUUUUUGGAGUUGCGCUGGGACUGAGCUGGGAGCCACGUACAAAGAGUGCUUACAACGUAGUAAUGUUGGCUUUAGUAAUUAAAGCCAAACCGCAAGACUUGGAUUGUCGUUAAAUGAAUACACAUGAAGUUAUGAACAGGUGAAAAGUCCCUUGCGUUGUAAGCAUGUUAAUUUUAACCCUUUCAUUAAAAAAAUGGUUUGCUGACUAACUAGUCAAGAACAAAAACAGUCUCGCGUGGCUUUGUAAAAUACAAACCCAUACAUUUGGUUGCUGCAGACUCUGGUUGAGGAAAUUUUUACUUUUACAAUAAAACAAUAGUUGCUUCGAAAGGAGGCGCUAACGCCUACUUUAACACCGUGAAAUCACCUGAAAAUAUUACACAAUCAUUUUUAUCAAUAGUUUAACGGAUAGUUAGCUAAAAACUGUCCAUAUCAGGAGACUGUCACGUUAUACAUACGUGUGUGUGUGUGUGUGCGCGCACACCAGCGUGUGUGCUUACUAACAUAUAUACCCAUGCCCACUGGCCUUAGUUACGUCAGAAAAUGUCCAACUAUACCAAGUUUUCUCUACUUAGAAGGUUUCAGUGUGUGUCAAUGCUAAGAGGGUAAUCUGUAUAUACUGUCAAAAGCCACCAACGCCACCUUAGGGAAUUUCACCCCAGGACUUAACAGGGACCACCAGUCUAUGGUCAACAACAGGACACAGGUUCGGACAACACAUACAGGCAUGUGAUUCCACAAACAAUAUUAUACAAGUUUAUUUUAAUAUCAAAUUAUGUUCUCAAUACAAUCACAAUCAUAAAAUCUCUCUGGUCCUCAGUCAUUCAGGUUGCCAUGGAAUGCAACAUACUGGAGGGGGGUGGGAGGGCUGAGGGUUCACCGGCGGAGAUGACUUGCUGAGGGGAAAGGAGCCCAAUGUUCCACCACACAUGAAAACAAAAACAAACCACACACCAACUAUUACAAUAUUACUAUACAACGAAAAAUGAAGAGAACCACCACCACCAGGAUCAGCCAGUCACUACUACCAGUGGCACCAACAGCUCCUGUUCAUCAAAACAAAAAUCAACCAUGAGUGAGCGAGUGAGGCAGGCAGGCACUUUAACAGCAGUUGGUCCACUUCCAAGUCUUUGGCCAGCAGAAGAUCACCUGCAACCAACAAAGUUGUUUUCUAUCAGGGAUCAUCACCUGCCAGGGAGCUCUGAGUUGACAGAAACAACCCGAUGAGCCCGCUGCACAGUCUUUGGAAAACAUAAAUUAAUAUUAGCUAUUUUUAAAGGGUAGUUUAUGGUGGUUUUCUUUUAUCAAAGCACAUCUGUCCGUCACUAUCCCAGAUCAUUCCCAUUUAGAAAUAGAAAAGUUAUGUACUUUCUGAUAUUAUUAAUCCAUUAUCUAUUUAUUGUAAAUAAACAACGUAUUUACUCAAGUGGUCUGUCGUAUUCUUUAAAGCAAUAACUAUAUCAAUUAAUUCACAUUUCAUAACCACUACAAAGACCUGGAUGACAAUGUUGUUGUUGAGGAAUAAACUGUGGCGACCUAAAGCGAAUGAUGAUCAAUUUACAUUAAGUUCUUUAUUGCGGAAUUUAAAAAAGUUUGCCGACAACCAUGACGUACGUCCAAAUAGACAACUCAAUAAGUCCAUUAUAAUUUUAUUAGAACAGCUCAUAGUUUUUGGUGGGAAGAGAAGGAUUGUGAUUAUGAACAUUUCAAGGGUUUUGGAUAAUACGGUGGUUAGUGUUUGUCUUUCGAGAUCUUAGCAUUUAUUUCGAUGAGAACAAUAGCGUUAGAAGUGAUGCCUAAAUAUGAGAAUUAAAAAAAUGGAAAAGGUUGUUCCAUUCGAUCAGUGGUUCUCAACUGGUCUGGCUCCGGGACCCACCAUCACCCCUUAAUGACAAGCCGCGACCCAAAUCGAGGAACAUUCUCAGCUUCUCGAAUUUAUUUAAUGAAAAUAUGGUGCAGUUUGAACCUGAGAUAGUAUGGAGACAGAAUAUGUAUGCCAACACAAAAACAAGUUGAAACAGCCAGCUGUUAAUUCUAAUUUUUAUUUUCCCAGGCAAAGACUCAUUAGAAAUGGGUCCGCGACCCACCGGUUGAGAAUGACUGCAUUAGAUAAUUAUUGUUUACAUUUACGAUUUGCGAUUAUUGAAGAAACUCUUAAGCGCAUUUCCAAUUCUAUAUAUUGUGUGUUGAAAGCCUCACACAAUAGUAUUGCAUUUUAUAGCUAUGAACAGAGAUAUUUUGGCAUACACCUGCUGUUUGUUUAUCAAAAACCAUAUGAGAUUUAGAAAAACUUAUUGAAUAUUAUUAGAAAUCAAUGUGUGAGUUUCGGGGAAAUAUUGUGAAGUGAAAAGAAAUUAUCAAGCAAAGGUUACAUUGAAAAGUGGUGCGGAUGUUCAGAUAAAGACAAAAAAAGAAAGAAGGCUAGAUGGGAACGAAAUUCAAAUUAAAGACCCCUCGAAGGUGUGCGCCUUAUUAAAUUCACUUUUUUUUCUCUACCUUUUAUUAUUGCCACAGCAGAUAAGCUAAUUUCUUUAGUUGAUUAGCUACCCUCCGCGCAAUGGCAAUACAUAAUACUGAGGAAAACACAAAUCAAAACAUUCAAAAUGCAACUGAUUAUUAGAAGGUGAAAUACAGACGAUGGACUGGGAUUAUCCAAGAAAAGCUAAUAGCACAGGCACUGCCUGCAUGGGUUUUGCUGGAGAACACCAGAAGGGUAUUCAUUUGUCUCACAAAAACAGGGAUAGCGCAAGAAUGAAAAAAAAUAAAAAGGGGAAUUACCGGGGAAUAGAGAGAAACAAGUCAAAAAACAUAACAGAGGUCUUUUGUAUUUCGGUGGCUCUCCCUCUGCACUGCCCGGCUGAAUUGCGGUGACCUAGAGCGAUUCUUUAACAAAUAAGAUUGCCUUUGUGUGCGCAUUUUUUUUCUGUUGACAUUUGCUAAGCGCUAGAGCUCCUGGCCAUGGGAGAUAGAUGAGGACCCUAAAAUGUCUGUGUAUCAGCCAGGGCCUUUCAUGUUACCUAGAGAGCAAUGGUUGUGUUUGUGGUGUGUGUGAGUGAGUGAGUGAGAGAGAGUGAGUAUCAUGAGGAGAGAGAGAAAAAGCAAUGUGAUUGCCGUUCAGUAGAUAUCCACCGAAGCUUUGUUUCUGACAGCGGUAAAGGUUAUUGCGGCCCAUUUCUCGCCCUGCUGUGUGUGUUUUAGGUGUGUGUGUGUGUGUGUGUGUGUGUCUGUCUGUAUGCAGGUAGGGGGGGGGGGAUACCUUAUUGUUUUUUUGUAGCAGCCCAUUUAUUGUGCCCUCCCACUAACUUCCAUUGAUUGGUAAAUACUUAAUCUCAGGCAGGAUCUUUUAUGUAUUCAUGGGACUGUCAGCUGAAUUUGAUCUACAAUCAGAUCACAGUUGAGGAUCUGAUGUGUUUAGGAGACCACGGAUCACAUGGGUGAAAAAGAGGGAGGCCGAAAUUGAUGUAAACUGGCAAAAUGGAGCGAUGAGAUUAGCAAAGAAAACCCUCUUUACUCACAUUGCAGUUAAAGAGAUAGUGAAUGGCGCUUGAUGUGUACUGAUUGUUACCAACCUGACGCUACGACCCAACAACAACAAAGGUAGACAUUAAUGAGAGAAAAAAAAUCCUCUUACCCAAUUAUUUUUACACUUUUCUAUAAUCUUUUUACUUUUUCUAUACAUCAGUGAAAUGUCCAUGAAUGAAGACUUACGGACAUAUGGAGCGGAACACGUAACCAUAUGCGGUUUCAAUUAGGAGGUCAUUUUGCUUAAUGGCCGCACACAUUUUCAUUCUCCGAUGACAUUAAUCACUUUUAAUCAGUGACAGAUAUCGGAUGUAGCACAUUUUGUAAAGGCACACCUUGUAGUUUUAGUUUUUAUUAAAUGUUAAUUAAACAGAAGCAAAACAUGGACGCAUUGGGGACCAUUUACUGAUUCUAUAUACAGUGCAGUGCGUGUGUGGCUCAUUGACGUGUUUUUAUAGUUUGUGAGAACCAAAUGAGCAGUAUGGCACACAGGGAUAAGAUAUAUCAGGCUAUGAUGGAGACAGUACUUAUUAGAUCUGAUGGUUAUCUACAGUAUUGACAGUUUUUCCAUCCAUCUCCAAAGUUUUUUUAUCCUUCACACAGGGACGGGGGGGGCUGGAGCCAAUCCCAGCUAAUACUCUACAGUAUAGCCUCGUAAAACUCUUACUGUCAUUAAAUCCCAGCUUGACUCAUGUGAUCAUGAGUUCACUUAAGCUGUAUUCACUCGCAAUAGACGCCGUUGCUGCUGUGAGAUGCAUGUAGUGGUAAAAACAUUCUGUAAACAAUUGUCUUGUGCUAAAAGCCAGGUCUCAGUGGUUGACCCUGAGAUGUAGAGAUAGAAAGAUUUAGGGUUUGCAGCUGUGUUUGGGGAAGGGGGUUAACUUGUUCUCACAGACCUUCAAUCAGAGGAGCAUUGUGUGUUAUCCUCAACUUCACCUGAGUUCUUAUAUCAACUUGAUUUGUGGCUUCUCGUAACUGGCACGAAGAACUGUCUUCAAGUGUAUCAAAACUCCGCGUUUUUACUGCUCGGAGACGCCAUUACACAGAACGCUGGAAUACGUGCUGGUGUGUUGGACCUCCUGCUUGCAAGCAAUAGUUAGAGCCAGAUAUCUGCGGAGAAUUGCUCAUGUAAUCUUUUUCUCUUCUAAAUAAAUGUUAACUUUUUAAUUGAUCAACGUGCUGGAUCCUUCUCAUCAACCGACUCGGGGGGAUUGGAGAUCCUGACAUUGCCCAGGAAAUUCAUCUGUUAGGAAAAUGUUAACAUUAUCGAAUGUGAUUUAAGUACAUUUUAGCUAAAAUGCUUUGUCUCCUAGUGGCGCAUCACAUUUUCACUUUGUCUAUAUUCAGAUUUUGGGAAUUAUUCAGAGUGUUGCGUUCCCCAGUUUCUGUGUCUGUUGUCUUCCUAAACUCAGGUGAUUCCAGGAGCAGCCGUCCCCAGAUGGGAGAUCUGGCCCCACCUACUCAUCAGUGGCAGCACCUGGUUUCCCGCCCUCGGAAGGAUAUAUAAGGAUUACAUUUGUUGUGGUUCUCUCUCUCUGGUGUCCUGUGUGGGGUGUAGUAAGAGCGAGAGGUGAUGCUGUGACUUUUUUUUCUGUGGCUGUGAGAAGUGCAUUUUCAGUUUUGUAUUUACCGGGUUUUUUUUGUUCCCAGGGAAAAGGGGAAGCACCGUGGGAGUGUGUAAGCAAGCUGCCCAUGGGCCUACACCACGCGUAGUCAUCCUCCUGUCUAGAAACACUAGGCAAGACCUGGGUGGACCACCCCUCUGUAUUUUGGUUAGUGAGCCUUGCUAGUGCUCAAAGCUAGGUUAGUGGGGGGGGUGUUUCAGGUCAGGUAGGCAAGAGGGACUGUUUUGUUUUGUUCUUUGCUUUGCUUCCGUCCAACCCCUUUUCCCAAGCAACCGUAGGCUAUAUACAUAUUUUAUAAUAAACAUUUCUUUUUACGGGUUAUAUGUGGUUUGGGCAUCAGUGCAUCCACACACAAUGCCACCCGGCACACAGAGAUUCACACAGGAAUGAUAAUCCCGUAGAAGUGACCUUAAUGAAUGCGGAUUUUCAAGGGAAGGGAGACGCGAGGCGGGUGAGGACGCCGGAGGGACGCGAGGCGGGUGAGGACGCCGGAGGGAUGCGGGGCCGGAGGGACGCGAGGCGGGUGAGGACGCCGGAGGGAUGCG
ensembl:lncRNA